ACUCCAAUAAUAUUUAUAAUAAUCCAAAAGAAUAACUUUAGAAAAAAAUUGAAAGUCUAAGUAAUGAUAAAAGAUUUCUAAGCAUGAAAAUUUUUUCUUAAUAAAUUAAUAUAUUUUAAAGAAAAGAAUAAGAAUAUAAUUUUGACUAAAUAAGUUUGAUGAUUUAAAUAAGUCUCUUAUUAAAAAAAUAAUUUAAUAACAUCGUCCGCCAAUUAGAAGAGAAAGAGACAUAUACGUUACUUGUUUUUUUUUUAGAAUAAUAGUGAAAGUUGAGUUAUAUUAUUAUCUCUAAAAAGAUAAAAAUAAUUUUUGUAGGAAAUUAAAAAAUUAUGAGUGGCCAAUGACAAAAAUAACCCUUGAAAAAAUAUAUGUCAAGUUAUAGUACCGAUAAAGUUUUUCUAAGUAUAAUUUUUUUUAAUAAACUAAUGCAUUCUUUCAAAGAAAAAAAGAACUAUAGAUUGAUUGAAUGAGUU
rnacentral:lncRNA from 1 species